rnacentral:tRNA from 4 species
CCGCCAUUAGCUCAACCGGAUAGAGCUUCUACCUCUAAGGUUCGGGGUUCAAUUCCUCGAUGGCGGACCA